UUGACCUCAAUCGGGUGAGACUACCCGCUGAACUUAAGCAUAUCAAUA
rnacentral:rRNA from 2 species